UCCUCUUACGUACGUCAUUUCCUCUUACUGCCCGUCGCUGGUUUUUUUUAAAUUUUUUAUAAUAUAGUCAUUUCCUCUUAUGUCAUUGACAGCGAUCGAUAGAAUCGAUAGAAUCCAAAUCUCCUGAAAAUGGUGGUGUCACUGAAUGAUAUUUGUCUUUAUCUUUCCCAGGGGACUUAUGUCAAACACCAGCAGGCUUCGAAACAUUUCAAGCGGAGUGUUAGGGCCGCUGCUGGGAACGUCUGUCUUCGUGAAGAGGUCCUGUACCAUUGGAACAGAAGAGUCAUUUGGACAGAGGAGGAGAAAGUGGCUGUGUUAACCAAAGCCCAUGCAAGCCAUUUUGGACCACGGAGGAUGCAAGCGAAGAUUGCUCCCCGGUUUUAUUGGCGGUCCAUCACAAAGGACACAUUGGAUUGGGUGCGCACAUGUCCUGACUGCCGGCGCUUUGAAAAAUUAAAGACCGAGGCGCCUGAGCUGAAGCCCAUCAAGGUCGUAUCACCUUGGUACAUGGUUGGUGUGGACCUCUUUGGACCUGUGAAAAAGUCGUCUAAGGGGAACAGAUAUUGUCUCACUUUCACCGAUUAUUUCACCAAGUGGGUUGAAGCAAGAACAUUCCCAAAAAAGACAGCAGUCAAUGUGAAGGAGGCCUUGAGGGACAUUUUCUUUACUCAUGGUUUGCCUGAAGUUAUCCUCACUAACCAGGGCACUGAAUUCAAGAAAGAGAGUUAUGGAGGUUCUUCCAAACAAUAUGGUUAGGCUGGAGACCCUGGAUGGAAAGCCCAAGCAUAUGAUGACCCCGUAUGCAUCACUGAAACCUCUGUGCUCGAGGACUCACCCUGGCUGGCCAAAGGAUUCCCCUUCGGCCCCUGUGCUUCCAGGAGAUGCUGAAAUGCUGACUUCAUCAUCGGAGGAGGAAACUGAGUGUCAUUGUUUCACGGACCAUACAUAUGCUGGCCCCACAUCACCCUGGAAAAAGGAGCUGCACCCCGACCAGAAACAACUGGAGAUCCCACGCCAGACCUCGGGGAAUGACUGUGGUGUUUUCAUGCUCAUGUACUCCCUCUGGCUCUGUACGGACACUACUUUUCACUACAGUGUGCUGGACAUGCAGUCAAUCCGGCGUUGGUGGUGUGUCCUUCUAAUGGAGCGCUUUGGCAUUGAAGGGUGGCGACUUGUCCAGGGUGUACCCUGCCUUCCGCCCGAAUGCAGCUGAGAUAGGCUACAGCGACCCCCCGCGACCCCAAAAAGGGACAAGCGGUAGAAAAUGGAUGGAUGGAUGGAUGGAUGGAUGGAUUAGUAACUGUAAUCUGAAGAGCUUUUCUUCAAUUUCCCCAAAGGCAUGGCCAGAGGUUCUGUUAUUGGACAGACAAGGCGAGCGGCCUAUUGCAGGGCAUUCUUCAGCCAGUCUUUAGGGUAUCCAGAAACUCAGUCCAGGCCAUCGACUGCGUCAUCAAAGAUUAACUGAAUACAGUACUGGUGCAGCUCGUGC